CAGUGAGACACACACGUAUCCUCUGUACAGUCUCAGUGUUCAGCUUCAUCAUGGCCGGACGUCUGCUGUUUGUCUUCUUCAUGUAUGUCUUUAAUGGGAUUCAAACAGAAGCUCGUCUUCCACCUAAACUUACAGUGAAUUCAGCGGUGAUCAAAGAGACAGACUCAGUCACACUGAACUGUCAGACUCCAUCAUCAGUGUCUCAGUGUUAUUACCAAACUUUAAGUGGAGAAACUGUGAAGAUAUUAUCCUGUCUGCAGACACUGACAGGAAGUGAACUGCUGAGGAUGGAUCAUCAGAGUUCAUCUGCUGAGGUCAAAGUGAAAUGUUUUUACACUGUUCAGAGUGGAGGCAGAAAUGUUCCAUCUCCACACAGUGACACAGUCUCCAUCAGCAUACAA